GAUGAACGCUGGCGGCGUGCUUAACACAUGCAAGUCGAACGAUGAAGCCCAGCUUGCUGGGUGGGUUAGUGGCGAACGGGUGAGUAACACGUGAGUAACCUGCCCUUAACUCUGGGAUAAGCCUGGGAAACUGGGUCUAAUACCGGAUAGGAGCGUCCACCGCAUGGUGGGUGUUGGAAAGAUUUAUCGGUUUUGGAUGGACUCGCGGCCUAUCAGCUUGUUGGUGAGGUAAUGGCUCACCAAGGCGACGACGGGUAGCCGGCCUGAGAGGGUGACCGGCCACAGUGGGACUGAGACACGGCCCAGACUCCUACGGGAGGCAGCAGUGGGGAAUAUUGCACAAUGGGCGCAAGCCUGAUGCAGCGACGCCGCGUGCGGGAUGACGGCCUUCGGGUUGUAAACCUCUUUCAGUAGUGAAGAAGCGAAAGUGACGGUACCUGCAGAAGAAGCACCGGCUAACUACGUG
rnacentral:rRNA from 1 species